UCGGCGAGUGAACAGGAAUUAGCCCAGGCCGAAUCCCAAAGGGAAACCUGCGGGAAAUGUAGCGUUUAGGCACUCUUGUUAUACUGUUGAGAACUGAUUCUAAGUUCACUUGAUUGUGACUUGCCAUAGAGGGUGGAAGCCCCGUGGGGAUUGGUUUGAUGUGGUUAAAGAGUGCUCUAGAGUCGGGUUGCUUGUGAAUGCAGCUCUAAUCGGGUGGUAAACUCCAUCCAAGGCUAAAUAUAACACGAAACCGAUAGCAAACAAGUACCGUGAGGGAAAGUUGAAAAGAACUUUGAAGAGAGAGUUCAAUAGUGCGUGAAAUUGCUCAGAGGUAAUCGGGUGGAACCGAAGUUGGGAUAAUGAAUUUUGUUUUUGCGUCAAUGGGGAAGGCUGAUUGUGGUUAUACACAUUAGACUAUCCUUGUACGUGGAAGCAUAUUUUCUUGUCCUUUAGCCAUGAACAGCGCUAGUUAGCUUUUGCAUUCUGUGCCAGGUAGCGGUAUCGCUUUAGUGAUGCUGUGUUAUAGGCUAGUUUCAAAAGUCUUUUUGGUGCUGUGCUAUGCAACACAAGCCUUUUGGCGUACAAGUGAAUCUGUGUUGUAAUAAAGCGGGUAGACUCUGUAGAGACUUGAGCUUUAUUAUAAUUCAGUUAAUUUGCCUCUGUACUUUGUGUUUAUAUUCAUGGCGUCUAAAGUAGGUCGUCCACCUGACCCGUCUUGAAACACGGACCAAGGAGUUUAGCAUGUGCGCAAGUCAUUGGGUGUAACGAAACCUAAAGGCGUAGUGAAAGUAAAGGCUUGCAUUAGUAAGCUGAGGUGUGAUCCGUAAUUUUUUGCGGCGCAGCACCGGCUCAUCCUUUGCUUUUUAAGCGGGGUGAAGCAAGAGCGUACAUGCUGAGACCCGAAAGAUGGUGAUCUAUGCUUGCAUAAGUUGAAGCCAGAGGAAACUCUGGUGGAAGACUGUAGCGGUUCUGACGUGCAAAUCGAUCGUCAAAUGUGAGUAUAGGGGCGAAAGACUAAUCGAACCAUCUAGUAGCUGGUUCCCUCCGAAGUUUCCCUCAGGAUAGCUGGCACUCGAAAACAAAGUUUUAUCCGGUAAAGCGAAUGAUUAGAGGUAAUGGGGAUGAAACAUCCUCAACCUAUUCUCAAACUUUAAAUGGGUGAGAUGUUGGACUCGUUUAAUUAGAGUCUGACGUUGAAUUUGAGUGCCUAGUGGGCCAUUUUUGGUAAGCAGAACUGGCGCUGCGGGAUGAACCGAACGUGUGGUUAUGGUGCCUAACACAACACUCAUGAGAUACCACAAAAGGUGUUGGUUGAUUUUGACAGCAGGACGGUGGCCAUGGAAGUCGGAAUCCGCUAAGGAGUGUGUAACAACUCACCUGCCGAAUCAACCAGCCCUGAAAAUGGAUGGCGCUGGAGUGUUGGACCUAUACCUCACUGUGGUCUUAGUACUUAAAUGGAAAAGACCACAAGUAGGAGGGCGAAAUGGUGAGCGUUGAAGCUACGGGCGUAAGCCUGAGUGGAGCCGCCAUUUGUGCAGAUCUUGGUAGUAGUAGCAAUUAUUCAAGUGAGAAUCUUGAAGGCCGAUGUGG
rnacentral:rRNA from 1 species